GAAUUAGAGCCAAAAGCUUGCAGCGGCAUCCCCAGCGAGGCAGGACCCAGCUGUGAGCGUGAGCACAGUGCAAACAAGGGGCUGUCAGAGCAGCAGAGCCACAGAUGCUCCUGGUGAUUCCCCCUCUAUGCCUGACUGGAAGAAAAACAUGUGAGGAAAACAGCAAUUACACCUUCAGGGAACAGUGUUACAGAAGACACAAAAGCAGGAUAAAGCAAGGAACCAAAGAACAUGUUAUGAAUAGAUGAAACUCAAGUGUGUUGGAGCAUUGAGGGAACUAUUUACCUUACAACACUCCUUGUAUGAGCCAGUAAAAAUGCAUGUGCUCAAUUUCUCC
rnacentral:lncRNA from 1 species